GCCGGGGCGGGGGCCAGGCGCAGGCCCUUCGCGACCCGGGAGGCCAGUGCUGUCCAUCGCCUGAGGCCCUGGUGGCAUCCAGAAGGCGCCAGCUCGGGUGAUUCUGGUCACUGCCCUCUCGGGUUGCUGGUGGAGAGACUUGUGUUCAUAAAAUAGCUCGCCCUUCUCUUCCCUACCUACCCAAGUCCUUGUGGCUUUCACUCCCAGGUUCUGCUUCCGACACCCCACCCCGCAGGUCCAUUUACAGACCUCCUCCUUUUUGGUUGGACUGACCUCCAGCAAAGGGUUUGCAAGCCCCCCAACACUGCCACUGGCUGCGGGGAGGCCACAGGACUUAGGGCUACGUCCUCUGGGAGGUGAGUGCUGGGGACCAGAGGGCGGGCGGGGACCUGCAGACUCCGGAGGAGCAACCCCUGGGCCCUCCUCAUCAGCUCUUGGGGGUCCACCCAUCUUCCCAGCACCGCUGACCCAGGCGCCAGGGGCCUCAGCCGUUUCAGGGCUGGAGUUGGCCGUUCUCCGGACCCUGGAAGGAGGGUGAAUUAAGUCCUACGUUUUAUGUAACCAUGCCUGCCUUUCUCCGAGGCUGAAGAACACAGAGACAUUCCAUUUCAGAGAAAAAAGGACCACACAAUGGCCCUCUUUGAGGGGAGGUUAAACAUUCACAUUGGGGAAAAAUAGCUAAUCCUUUACUAGCCCAGCUCACCUAUUUUGCUCUUUAUCUCCAGCCUGUGAGUUAGGAAAGGCAGAUGUCCGUUUUACAGAGGAAGAAACCGAGGCACAGAUGAAUGACCGAUGUGGGCCCACACUCCCAGGACAUCACCCUGUGACAAGGCAGAGGGAAAUGCACCCCCCGAAGCCCCCUCCCACGUGAAGAGACUUGCUCCUCCAGAAAUGCCCCAGGGAACAUCCACUGAUCUAGGGCUGACUGGAACACAGCACCACACCGUUGGAGACCGUAUGGAAGAAACCGUGGAAACGUGUCAGUGAUUGAGUGAGUUCAGGCAAUGCCAGCGGCUACAACAAACGAGCCCUGAGAUAUGGAAUCGCUUCCACGCGCAGGAAGUUCGUUUCUCACUCCCAGGCCAGGGUGGGUGUUAGCGGCCGGCAGGCCACUCUGCUCCAAGUGAGGACUCGGGGACACAGGCUCUUUCCAUGCACGCGGGCCCACCACGUUGGCCCUGUGCUUCCAGGGUGUCUGGGUUCCUGCCCGAGGACGGGAGGGGGCGUGGAGAAGCCCGUGCAGAACCCCUUGGGUGGUUUUUCUGGUUCAGGCCCGGAGCUGGCUCACAACACGUGCACUCACAUUCUGUUGGUUAGAGAGGGUUUCUCAGGCUUUCCAGCUGAUGAGGGUCUGUCCUGAGCGGAACGUUCCCUGGCCUCUGCUCCCUCCUCCAGUUGUGACAACCAUUGCUCAGAGGCCUCG
rnacentral:lncRNA from 1 species